rnacentral:tRNA from 14 species
AGGAUCCACUCUGGUGGGUUUCACGGACUUCAA